UUUGACCUACGGGGGGCAGCAGUCGGGAAUAUUGCGCAAUGGAGGAAACUCUGACGCAGUGACGCCGCGUGCAGGAAGAAGGUUUUCGGAUUGUAAACUGCUUUAGACAGGGAAGAUACAAGACAGUACCUGUAGAAUAAGCUCCGGCUAACUACGUGCCAGCAGCCGCGGUAAUACGUAGGGAGCUAGCGUUAUCCGGAUUUAUUGGGUGUAAAGGGUGCGUAGACGGGAGAACAAGUUAGUUGUGAAAUCCCUCGGCUUAACUGAGGAACUGCAACUAAAACUAUUUUUCUUGAGUGCUGGAG
rnacentral:rRNA from 1 species